UGGGGAAUAUUGCGCAAUGGGCGAAAGCCUGACGCAGCCACGCCGCGUGAGCGAUGAAGGCCUUCGGGUCGUAAAGCUCUGUGGGGAGAGAAGAAGAAAGCCCGUGAAGAGCGGGCCUUGACGGUAUCUCCUUAGCAAGCACCGGCUAACUCCGCGUCAGCAGCCUCGGUAAUACGGAGGGUGCAAACGUUGCUCGGCCUCAUUGGGCGGAAAGCGCACGUAGGCGGCGAAGCAAGUCGGGUGUGAAAGCCCUGGGCUCAACCCAGGAAGUGCAUUCGAAACUAUUACGCUAGAAUCUCGGAGGGGGUCAGAGAAUUCCCGGUGUAGAGGUGAAAUUCGUAGAUAUCAGGAGGAAUACCAGUGGCGGAAGCGCUGACCUGGAAAAAGAUUGACGCUGAGGUACGAAAGCGCGGGGAGCAAACA
rnacentral:rRNA from 1 species